ensembl:lncRNA
CGUCGUUCUCCUUGCCGCCCCCACCUGCCACUGCCACCGCCGUAGCCGCCUUCAUACUGGUCACCGGCUUUGUCUGUCUUGAGCCAUUUGGGGGCCCAGCCACCCUCAGUGCCACCUCCAUAGUUACUACGGCCUCCGCCGCCCGCCGCCACCAUCUUCACCAGCACUCCCGACAGCCUCCGCGGGUCUUCUGGCUGUUCCUACUUCCUGUUUCCGGGCAUCCAUUUUUGUUGUCAACCCUGAGGUCGUUCUGAUUUUUGUUCCUUUGUAGGCAGAUCCAGUGAGAAAGUGCACACACACUCGUGACUUUCUUGGACACUUCUUACCAGGGGGUCUCACCAAGCUGCAGGUUGCUGUAUGUCUAGGCUCCUAAAAAGAAGUCCUGUUUAGCGCUGAGAUUGCACAAAGGAAUGACAAGGUCCCUGAUCACAGCAUUUCUGAGGAGUAGUGAUGGUCUGGCUUCAGAACUAGCAAGAGCUCAGUGUCUUCUUUGGUCUUAAGGUCAUCCAUACAUUUAUUCACCUAUCCAUUUAUACCUUCGUUUGUUUCCUCAUUGACUUAUUUUCCUAUUUGCAAAAGAUUGGAAGACAAACACAGCAUUAUAUCCUUAAGAAAUUUACAAGACUUCCUUGGUGAUCCAGUGGUUAAGAAUCCACCCACCAACACAGGGGUCAUGGGUUGGACCCCUGGUUGGGGAGGAUCCCAUAUGCCCUGGGGAAACUAAGCCCAUGCACCACAACUGCUGAGCCCACGUUCUAGAGCUCCUGCUCUGCCAAGAGAAGCCACCAGGACUAGAAUAGAUCCUGUUCACUGCAGCAGGAGAAAGCCGGUGCGCAACGACGAAGACCCAGCACAGCUGAAAUAAACAAAAUGUUUUAAAAAAUAAAAAUAAUAAAGAAAUUCAC